AUGCCGGAGGCCUGGGGAAAAGGCAAACAGCCCUCCACGCCUGACUUCCUUAGCCUUCUGAGCCCAGGACCUCAAAACCAUUGGCGAAGGGGCGGGAGGGUACACCUUUGCCCAGGUGAUCUUGCUCAGCCUCCCUUGAGCUCUUCCCGGCUGAAGGACUAUUCUGAUUUAGCAGCCAAAACUCACUCAGCCGAGCCUCCCAUUCUUGGAGCAUCUCGCGCACGCCCCGCUCCCCAGGCUCCAGCUCUUCUUGCUACCCAGGGUCCAGACUCCUACAUCUCAGAGAGAGAUGCAGGCCAUCCGCCCCGGACUCAUCCAGGCCCAGGUACUGCCCGUCAGGACCGGGCUCGUGCGAAGGUCCCCAGUGCACAGAAGGAGUAUCUGCUUUGGGGAUUUUCUCUAUGGAAUCCUGGACUGACGUCCUCUGACAUUCUUAGAUUGCCUUCCUUCACUGACCAUCUGGCAUGUGCCCAGGGAAUACCAGCUAAUUUGAAUAUCCAUCUAAGGUAAACAUAAUUAGAAAGUCAAGUCAUCUGCCCCCUAAAUCAUCAAAAUACAUUUUAAAGCUAAGCAAAGAAAACAAGAUUAUUAGACUGUCUGCUAUUUAAAACUGCCUAAAUAAUAUAGUCUCCUCACCUUCUAUUAGCAUGGAUAACUGAAAGCUGACUGUAGUAUGUGAAUAGCCUGUUCUAUUUUGAGUAUUGUUAUGAAUAUGCUUUGUAAUUAAGCCAGCGGAGGAGCCCAGAUGUGCCAGUUGUAGUACUGGUAGAUUCCAAAACCCACUCAUCUUCUUCCUUUUCUCUGGGCAGAUUAAAGGAUGUCUUUUAUAAAGGGGACUCCUGACUACAGAUAACAGCAAGCAGACUUUAAGAUAGUUUCCCUGUUUAAUUCCUCCUAUCAGUCAAACAAAUAUAAUCCAUAUUUGGUAUGGACAAAGACUCUCCUCCAUCUUUUCUUUGUAAUCUCUUUCCUCUUGUUAGAAAGGGUUCACCAAUAACUGAAGCCCCUAAUUCUACUGGAACGUGGAAUUUCCUCCAGGAGGCCUGAUUGGGAAUGGUGAAGAGAACCCAAGACAACUGACCAGGAAAAGAGUCAGAGGAUGUUAAGAUUACAGGCUUCGUCUGGUGAAUGAUUCACUAUCUGAUCUUAACCAAGCUAUUUCCAAACUCACACUUCUGUUACCCAUUUAAUAAAGGUAAUAGAGGCCCUCCUUUAUCCCUCCCU
rnacentral:lncRNA from 1 species